rnacentral:rRNA from 1 species
CACGCUGUAAACUAUGAGAACUAAAUAUUGCCGCGAGGCAGUGUUGAAGCUAACGCAUUAAGUUCUCCGCCUGGGGAGUACGGUCGCAAGACUGAAACUUAAAGGAAUUGACGGGGGCCCGCACAAGCAGUGGAGCAUGUGGAUUAAUUCGACGCAACGCGAAGAACCUUACCAAGAUUUGACAUGGGAACUAAAACCCUAGAAAUAGGGCCAUAACAGGUCUACACAGGUGG